UAGCAUAUCAAUAAGCGGAGGAAAAGAAACCAACAGGGAUUGCCUUAGUAACUGCGAGUGAAGCGGCAAAAGCUCAAAUUUGAAAUCUGGCGUCUUCGACGUCCGAGUUGUAAUUUGGAGGGAUAUCUUCGGGGAUGGCGCCGUCCUAAGUUCCUUGGAACAGGACGUCAUAGAGGGUGAGAAUCCCGUGCCUGGAUGGCUGUCCAUCUCCAUGUGAAGUGUCUCCGACGAGUCGAGUUGUUUGGGAAUGCAGCUCAAAAUGGGUGGUAAAUUUCAUCUAAAGCUAAAUAUUGGCGAGAGACCGAUAGCGCACAAGUAGAGUGAUCGAAAGAUGAAAAGCACUUUGAAAAGAGAGUUAAAAAGUACGUGAAAUUGUUGAAAGGGAAGCGCUUGCGACCAGACUCGAUCUUUGGUGAUCAGCCGGGCUUCUGUCCGGUGCACUUGCCACUGAUCGGGCCAGCAUCGGUUCUGAGGGCGGGAUAAAAGGUUGAGGAAUGUAGCUUCUCUCGGGGAGUGUUAUAGCCUCGAUCAUAAUGCCGCCAUUUGGGACCGAGGACCGCGCUUCGGCUAGGAUGCUGGCGUAAUGGUCUUAAGCGACCCGUCUUGAAACACGGACCAAGGAGUCUAACAUCUAUGCGAGUGUUCGGGUGGAAAACCCUUGCGCGUAAUGAAAGUGAACGGAGGUGUGAACCCGCAAGGGUGCAACAUCGACCGGUCCUGAUGUCUUCGGAAGGAUCUGAGUAAGAGCAUAGCUGUUGGGACCCGAAAGAUGGUGAACUAUGCCUGAAUAGGGUGAAGCCAGAGGAAACUCUGGUGGAGGCUCGCAGCGGUUCUGACGUGCAAAUCGAUCGUCAAAUUUGGGUAUAGGGGGCGAAAGACUAAUCGAACCAUCUAGUAGCUGGGUUCUGCGA
rnacentral:rRNA from 1 species